CACAUCUCUUCCUAACUAUCAAUCAGAGUUCAGAAUGAAAGACAAAUGGACAUCCAUUUGAACCUUAGUGUGAAACAAGUGAUGUUGGAGUGAAUGGAAACAGCCUGGCAACAUCCUGCAGCUUUUACCAUAGUUCCAACUAAGUCAAGACUACCCGAUGAUGCCAUCCAUAUCCAAGCUGGUCUUCCUAUGUAAUUAAUCAUCUCUAAAACAAUCCCAUGCAACCAGAAGAGGAAUGUAUUAAUCUUUCACGCAUGUCUCAAUUCAGUCAAGUGGACAAUGAAAAUUAACCAUCACAAUAAUGAAGAUACUAAAUUCAAAACUAAAUGUUCAAAUCCUA